rnacentral:lncRNA from 1 species
GUGAUCCAUUUUUAUUCGGCUCAAUCUUUUUUUUUAGAAAAAAAAGAUUGAGCCGAGUUUAAUUGCAGGCAAUUAGAAGAAUAAAGAAGAAUUACUGCAUUUCGUAACUUAUUUUUUCUCUUUUUAUUUUGUUUCUUUUUAUUUAGACCUUCUUCAUAUUUAGUUUUAUCUAUUAAUCCGAUCGGAAAAAAUCCGGAACCAGAGCCCUUUGCGGUAUGUUUAGCGCGCUGGACCGGACAAAACUGGAUAACCGGCUGUUUUGGUUGAUACCAGUGAACCGGACGGUUUUGCUCGAACCGUACCGGUUCAGUUCCCGUUUCAAAAAUACCCCUCGUUUGAUUUAUUUUUGUACGAAUAAUGCAAGGGUAGAUACGGUAUUUUGGUUAAUCUCUAGGGUUUGCUCCUAACUCAGUCAACUCUCCACCCACGAUUUGCUCUGUCUCUCCCCCGUCUCCCUUGUCCCGCCGCCUGUCUCCCUUGUCCCGCCGCCGCCGGCCGUCGCCCUGCCACCAGGGCUGACCGCGCCACCCGCGCCUCUCCGCCCAUGGCUACGACCGCCUCCCGCAGUACCGCUGACGCCGGACUCCAGCAACAGAGAUGCCGGUUUGUUGCUGCUCUUCAACUUUAGAGUAUGAAAUUCUCAAUUUCUUCCUUCUCUGUUCUUCAAGUUCAGAGUUGCUGCUGCUCAUCGAUUUGGUUGGAAAUGCAUGCAGCACUGUAGUGAUAGAGUAUUUAUGUAUGAUAAUAAUGAGACAAGUCAAUUAUUGUGUGCACUAUUAUUUAUAUUGUCAUAUUUUGAUUUUUUAGUUAAAAAUAUAUUAUUUUGUAUUAAAAAAUAGACCGGUGUUCAACUGGUGAACCGGCGAUUUGACCCGAAUAACCUGAACCGAG